GACAGAGGGAUGCAAGCGUUAUCCGGAAUGAUUGGGCGUAAAGGCGUCUGAGUAGGUGGCUUUUUAAGUCCGCCGUCAAAUCCCGAUGGGCUCAACCCUGGAACAGGCGGUGGAAACUAACCAAGCUGGAGUACGGUAGGGGCAGAGGGAAUUUCCGGGUGGAGCGGUGAAAUGACGUAGAGAUCGGAAAGAACACCAACGGCGAAAGCACUCUGCUGGGCCGACACUGACACUGAGAGACGAAAGCUAGGGGAGCGAAUGGG
rnacentral:rRNA from 1 species